rnacentral:rRNA from 1 species
GAUGAACGCUGGCGGUGUGCCUAAGGUAUGCAAGUCGAACGAUCUCGGUUUACCGAGAUAGUGGCAGACGGCUGAGUAAUAUACAGAAACGUACCCCUAACACAGGUAUACCCCCGGGAA